AAUCAACGCUGGCGGCGUGCCUCAGACAUGCAAGUCGAACGAUUAAGACUCCCUUCGGGGAGUGCAUAAAGUGGCGCACGGGUGAGUAACACGUAAGUAAUCUACCUUUGAGUGGGGAAUAACCCGGGGAAACCCGGGCUAAUACCGCAUAACGCAGCGGCACCGCAAGGUGACAGUUGUUAAAGGAGCAAUCCGCUUGAAGAGGAGCUUGCGGCAGAUUAGCUAGUUGGUAAGGUAAUGGCUUACCAAGGCUACGAUCUGUAUCCGGUCUAAGAGGACGGUCGGACACACUGACACUGAAUAACGGGUCAGACUCCUACGGGAGGCAGCAGUCGGGGAUUUGGGCAAUGGGCGAAAGCCUGACCCAGCAACGCCGCGUGAAGGAUGAAGUAUUUCGGUAUGUAAGCUUCGAAAGAAUGGGAAGAAUAAAUGACGGUACCAUUUAUAAGCUCCGGCUAACUACGUGCCAGCAGCCGCGGUCAUACGUAGGGAGCAAGCGUUGUUCGGAUUUACGU
rnacentral:rRNA from 1 species